UGGGGAAUAUUGGGCAAUGGGCGCAAGCCUGACCCAGCAACGCCGCGUGAGGGAAGAAGGUCUUCGGAUUGUAAACCUCUGUCCUUGGGGACGAAAAAAAUGACGGUACCCAAGGAGGAAGCUCCGGCUAACUACGUGCCAGCAGCCGCGGUAAUACGUAGGGAGCGAGCGUUGUCCGGAAUUACUGGGCGUAAAGGGUGCGUAGGCGGUUUGGCAAGUCAGAUGUGAAAUCCCCGGGCUUAACUCGGGUGGUGCAUUUGAAACUGCUGAACUUGAGUGCAGGAGAGGAAAGCGGAAUUCCUAGUGUAGCGGUGAAAUGCGUAGAUAUUAGGAGGAACACCAGUGGCGAAGGCGGCUUUCUGGACUGUAACUGACGCUGAGGCACGAAAGCGUGGGGAGCAAACA
rnacentral:rRNA from 1 species